rnacentral:rRNA from 1 species
UACGUAGGGUGCGAGCGUUAAUCGGAAUUACUGGGCGUAAAGCGUGCGCAGGCGGUGAUGUAAGACCGAUGUGAAAUCCCCGGGCUUAACCUGGGAACUGCAUUGGUGACUGCAUCGCUCGAGUAUGGCAGAGGGGGGUAGAAUUCCACGUGUAGCAGUGAAAUGCGUAGAUAUCGGGAGGAACACCAGUGGCGAAGGCGAUCACCUGGGGUUGUUCUGACGCUGAGGAGCGAAAGCUAGGGGAGCAAACGGG